GAACGCGUUCCUCCAGCGUCUACGCAAACGCCUCCACCUCUGGGAAGCCCGUCGGGAUCUCUUUCUCCGGCUCUGCAGCCCUCGCCGCGUCCCCUCCAGACUCCGCCUCAGGUUGACUUUGCCUUUCCCACCCGCCGACCCCUGGCCAUUCCACGCAAGUCCAUCGGGCCAUCCGACUGAGACUGGAAGCCAGAGUUAGGGGAGAGGCGUGCCCCAGCCUGCAGAAAAAGAAUGACAAGCAAGGUGUUACUGCACAGGCGAGGAUACCAAGAAAUAGAGACAGUGGGAGGCUGUGCUCUCGCCAGGCUGCGCCUCCUCACCCGCUCCAUUCCUCAGGCCUUCGGGGACUCCAGCCCAUCUCCCUAAGUCCCAGGGGAGCAAAUCGAGCGCUUAUCCAUUCCUGGCCCAAAUGCACCCGGGGACCACAGGACAAGGAUCCCAGGAAUUAUAGAGUUGACACUAUCCGCCCUUCCAGCCUCGCUGCAGCCUCCCUUGCCCUGCUUCUAUGACAGUUCCACCCCAGGAGACCUGGCAACCCCAUUCCUGAGUCAGUGUUGUCCAGCACCCUCCCAAAACCUGCUCCAACUUGCCUGUUUCAAAAAUAUGGGUGUGCAUGUGCAUAUGCAUGUGUGAAUGGGGAGAAGGAAAUAUCACUGCAGGGACGCUGGAGAGCCUUGGUUGUCUGCAGUCUACCCCCACCUUGCAUGUUGCAGGUCAGACUGCGUCACUGUGCACAGCAAAAGCAGGUGUCACAGUUCCUGAGCACAGUCCAGGGAAGCACAGUGGUCUAAGGCGUGGAACCUGCUCUAGACCACACAGGACCAAUCGGAGUUCCCUGGGCUGCUCCCAGUACCAGGGGAGCUGGGGGGGAGGGGGGGCAUAGUAGACUUGGCUUCACCCAGCAGCAGAGAAUUUGCAGGCAUUUCAGGCAGGAGCCUGAGGAUCUUCCACUGCCCCUCCACCGACAAGCACCUACACACUGGGCAGAUGUUCAAGGCCUGUGACCUCUCUGCGCUUCUCUCCCAUCUGUAAAUUGCAGGGGCUGGCCUGGGGCAGGCCAAGUCAGGCUGCUCACAGGUCUUGGGGGAGUUCAUUAAAUGAUUCCUGGCCCUACCACUUCUGAAAAGCCUGUCACCCACCAUCACCUCCUUUCAUUCUCCCCAGCUCUGGCUUGGGAACUGCAGGUCAGAACUCACAGCACUGUUAAGUAGGUAAGGAGCACUGACCCAGAGUCCUAGAAAGAAAUAGGACAACUGGCCAACAUGCUUCACACACACAAACCCAGUAACACCAUUUUCCCACAAGGAAAGGAGGCAGCUCUCAAAAACAUGCCUGGCACACCCUCUCUUGCUAGUCUCCACGUGCUGCCACCAAUGCCUCAGCCUGGAGCAGUGGCCGGAGAGCGGGCCUGGACCACACACCAGCAUCUGUCUGCCAGUGGCAGGUGCUGAGGAGUCCUCGGGUGAUCCUUAGGGCUCUAUUCCCGAAGGGAGGGGCAGGGACCAGGGGCUCUAGGCUGUAGGUCUCUGGGGGAUGGAAAGGGACUUGAAAGGCCUGGCCCUCAAAGGAGCUGGCCCCUGCUCCAUCCUAGCUGGCCAAGGGUGGGCCAUACAGAGAAGAGGUGGCUGACUGGGACCUCAUGAAUGGGAGACCCUCAUCUCUCAGGAGCUGGGUUAAUGGGGCAUUGGGGGUGGGGCUGCUGGUGUGGAUGAGGCAAGUGGGGGAAGGGAAGUAGGCUCAGGCAUUUCAAAAAUUUGCUCCUUUCCACUUAAACACCCCCCCCCAAGCCUGUGCCUCCCAGAAUGGCAUUUCCGGUUUGAAAGGAGGCCCCAGGAUGUGUUUGGGGGAGGGGCACCCACUAAGUUGGCUCUGGCUGGGGUACUGGGGCCAGGACCUCACACUACCCUGUUGGGUCUCUCAGGCCCUGCGGCUGCCAAGGAGUACUGACAGGAGGCAGCCCUGUGCGCCAGACCCACCCAGAAGGGACAGAGCUGGCAGCCAGGGGAGGGCAACGGGACUGCGGGGCCACCAUGACAGCUCUGCAGCAUGGCACUGGUGAGGGUUACAGUAGGGACAUGGCACUCCAAGGGUACCUGGGGCUUUAAGCCAAAGUCACAUUCUGAGACUCAACCCACCCACUCCACCUCAACAAACAAAGCUGCCCUCCCCACAGGGCCAGCACCACUCCCACCCCCACUGCUGGCUGGGUGGGACCUCAGAGGUGGUGGACAGACUGGCCAGGCUGAAGGAAUCUGUGGCUGCCCCAGGAACGGGUUGUGGAGCCAUGCACAUGUGUGGCCAUGUAGGGGACCAGCAGCAAGGAUCAGGGCCCCAGCAACAAAGCUGGCAGAAGGCUCUGCUGGAGAAGCACAGAAGCACAGCCAGGCGCCGCUCUCCCGGACAGCUGUCAGUCAUCCCAGGAGUGCCUCUCACCAGAUGUGUGGAGAUGUCGCAACCUGUAGGGCCUGAAUUAGUUACCCGUGCAGGAACAUGUGGGCCUAGCACAUGGGGACACUGACUCUCACUGCCCACAGUGGACUCCAGUGGGAGAGAUGCCUAGGGUAGGGCUUAUGCCAUCUGGGCUUUCUGAGGUCUCAGCUUUGGUACAGAUCCACUGCACAAAAGAACCACUCCUUGCUUGGUGCCUAAAAAUGCCCAGGGCAGCAUGUAUGCAAGCAAAAAUGGAGAGAAGCAUAAGUCAACGGUCAACUCCAAGGGACUCUUAGACAAACCAGGACCUCAAGGGAAAACAGGCCAUGAAAAGAGCGACUUGCAAGGACCAAAAAAUGUAGGACAAUGCUUAUGACUGAGCAAAAUGCAGACCUAAAACAACCUGCAUGGUUCGACAACACACAACCCUGCCUCUCCCAAGGCUUGGGCUUGCCUGCAGCACAAGGUGGUGUGCUGGAUGUUCCCUGACAGGCAGCUCUGGAAGCGGAAGCAGGAAAGGAUUUCCUGAAGCCGGAGAUGCCCACAGAGGGGCAGAACGGAGUCACCAUCCCACUCUGCUGGAGUCAGCAAGUCAGGGGACCAGCAGGGUCACAGAGGAGGACCCAGAGGCUCUGCGAUGCAAGCACAGGAAGGAGUAAACUCAGAGAAGACAGCCAUGGCAGCCCCUCCUGGACAUUCUCGCCCCCACCGGGCCCGUUCCAGCCCAAGGAGAAGCGCACUGCUGGCCCCAGGAGAUCCAGGACCAGGCCCUUGCCCAGGUUUAGCCUGUGAGGACAGGAGCAGAUACUGAUCACUGCUACUAGUCGUGUCACCCUUAGCCACCCUUAGACUCUCAGGGCCCCAGUUUGCAUAUGGGUUUAGUGUAAGCUCCUUUAGCAGCUGUGCCCAUCCCCGGGCCCUGGGACCCACAGCACGUGCAGGCUGUCCAGGGCACACGGUACCCAGUGUCGUGCUCCAGCUGCACUCCCACACCUGCACACAACACAUCCAGUCCCCGGAGGGACACCAGGGCACACAGAGGUACACAAGCCCAUCCCUGUCACUCACACCUGUAGACACAGCAGCCACAGCAUGCCAGGUGGGGAGCUGGAUAGGGCUGUGCAGCCAGUCCCAGCCUCAGAAUGCUUAUACUCCAGGCGGGGGGCGGGGGCAUGAACAGAUGAACAUUCAUUUGUUGUGGUGACAAGGAGGACUCUGAGGGAGAACAAAGGAGACAGCAAAGUGACAGCACUCCCCUAUUUUAAUACAAGGUGGUUGGGGAACCUCUCUAAGGAAGUGGCAUUUGAACAGAUGUGUGAACCUUCUGCUAAGGCUCCUUAUGCAGAGAAACUAACAAUGAACAUGGUAAAAAUAGCACAGGCAGGCUGCUCUUUUCCCCAGUGGGAGGAGCCCAAGCAGCAGCAGAGAGGCCUGGGGACUUGAUGUCCAGGGGGCUCUCAAUAUAGUCUCCCCCCCAAUCCAAAAGUCACCCACCUGGCCCCUCUAAAGUGGUAACAACGAAGCAACUGAAUGAGGCUCUAGAAAAAAAUCAACAGUCCCUCCCCAGCUCUGUGUGUGUGUAUGCACAUGGGUGUACAUGUGUGUUGAGACAAGAGUCUCACACGGCUGGCCUUGAACUCAUGACAAUCCUCCUGCCUCAGCUUCCCAAAGUCUGGGAUUAUAGGCGUGAACCACCACACAGCCCUCCCCAGAGGUUUGCUUGUUUAAAUAAACAAACAAACAAACAGAA